rnacentral:rRNA from 1 species
AGCAGCCGCGGUAAUUCCAGCUCCAAUAGAGUAUAUUAAAGUUGUUGCAGUUAAAAAGCUCGUAGUUGAAUUUCGGGGUCAGUAGGUCGGUCGUGCCACAGGUAUGUACUGGUCUCACUGAUUCCUCCUUCCUGAUGAACCGUAAUGCCAUUAAUUUGGUGUUGCGGGGAAACUGGACUGUUACUUUGAAAAAUUAGAGUGUUUAAAGCAGGCUAACGCUUGAAUACAUUAGCAUGGAAUAAUGAAAUAGGACGUUCGAUCUUAUUUUGUUGGUUUCUAGGAUUGACGUAAUGAUUAAUAGGGAUAGUUGGGGGCAUUAGUAUUCAAUUGUCAGAGGUGAAAUUCUUGGAUUUAUUGAAGACUAACUACUGCGAAAGCAUUUGCCAAGGAUGUUUUCAUUAAUCAAGAACGAAAGUUAGGGGAUCGAAGACGAUCAGAUACCGUCGUAGUCUUAACCAUAAACUAUGCCGACUAGGGAUCGGAUAAUGUUAAUUUUAUAAUGACUCA